rnacentral:rRNA from 1 species
AUUGAACGCUGGCGGCAGGCCUAACACAUGCAAGUCGAGCGGUAACACAGGGAGCUUGCUCCUGGGUGACGAGCGGCGGACGGGUGAGUAAUGUCUGGGAAACUGCCUGAUGGAGGGGGAUAACUACUGGAAACGGUAGCUAAUACCGCAUAACGUCGCAAGACCAAAGAGGGGGACCUUCGGGCCUCUUGCCAAUAGCUGGGCCCAGAUGGGAUUAGCUAGUAGGUGGGGUAACGGACAACCUAGGCAACGAUCCCUAGCUGGUCUGAGAGGAUGACCAGCCAAACUGGAACUGAGACACGGUCCAGACUCCUACGGGAGGCAGCAGUGGGGAAUAUUGCACAAUGGGCGCAAGCCUGAUGCAGCCAUGCCGCGUGUAUGAAGAAGGCCUUCGGGUUGUAAAGUACUUUCAGCGGGGAGGAAGGCGAUAAGGUUAAUAACCUUGUCGAUUGACGUUACCCGCAGAAGAAGCACCGGCUAACUCCGUGCCAGCAGCCGCGGUAAAAC